rnacentral:rRNA from 1 species
GUGCCAGCAGCCGCGGUAAUACCGGCAGCUCAAGUGAUGUCCCAUAUUAUUGGGCCUAAAGCGUCCGUAGCUGGCCGACCAAGUCUCCCGGGAAAUCCACUCGCUUAACGAGUGGGCGUCCGGCGGAAACUGUGCGGCUUGGGACCGGAAGAUCCAAGGGGUACGUCCGGGGUAGGAGUGAAAUCCCGUAAUCCUGGACGGACCACCGAUGGCGAAAGCACGUCGCGAGGACGGAUCCGACAGUGAGGGACGAAAGCCAGGGUCUCGAACCGGAUUAGAAACCCCGGUAGUCC